GUCCCUUUAUUUCUAAAUUAUUAGAAGUGAAGCCUUUGAGUUUAGUUUACCCCUUUCAUGGUAUAGACUGUGCCCCAGGAGAGGUCCAGGACUCAGCUAUACCCCUGAGACCAGGCUAAAAAGCCAAGAGGUAAAAUAGUAUGAGAAGCCAAUGUCCAGGGAAAGGCAAUGAGGGCCAAGGAGUUCGGCCUAGGGAUCUGAGCGUGGCUCUCAGUCGUCGACUGGCAGACCAAGGCCCCAGGACUGGACAAGGUGGGCCAGUAGCAGCUAGAGUAGCCUGUAGUCUGUCCAAACACCCUGUGACAUCUCACCGUGUGACCCAUGUGCUGGAACAAAAUUCUGGUAACCCCGACCUGCCUGGGGUUUGGAGCAAGGGCAGCCUGGGGACCUCUGUGUGGUUUUUUACUACUUCCUGAAUUUUUUGAUCUGAUCGAAUUAUCUGAGAUUGGAGAAGACUGUGGAGAUAAAGAGAAUGCUGUGGGAACUCUGUGAGAGAACUCGUUCUCUGUGAGAACACUAGGAGGGGGUAGGAGGCAGCUGCCCUGCAGACCUCCACCUCCUGGGCCAGGUGGAGAAUGCGACUACAAACUCUCCAUCUCCGUGGAGCUGCAAGGGACAAGGGACCAGUGGGUCUCCCAGAUCAAUGUGAGAGGCAGAGCAGAGUCCUGGCAGACAAUUCACCUCACCAUGAGGGAAAAACUUCAACUCCCACAGGAAACACGGCCACCGGUUUCCUGCCGCUGCUGGCAUCUGAGACCUCAAAGGAGCCAAAGGGCCUGGCGCUUCUCCGAGGCAGCUGACCGCCUGGGGGCACGAGAGGACCCAUGGCCACUAGGAAGUCCUCUUGGUCCCUGAAAGCCAGUGCGUGGCUGGCAAGUGCACUCUUCCUGACCCACCUGAGGGUUUAUCCGGCCUCAGCUUUAGAGGAAGAAAGCACCUCCCCCAGUACACACUCCCCUCCCCUCCCCUGGUUUUAGCAGUCAUGGCGCUCUGACUGUCACCCGGUGGAGAGCAUCAGGAAGGAGGGUGUAGGCUGAAGGAGCACCCAAGCACAGUACAGAGUCUAGUGAGGGAAGGGUGGGCAUAAGGGGGCUCAGCGGCUUGUAGGAGCGGAUCUUGGAUCUCACCACGGCCUUGGGGUUCGCAGGGCAGGUCCUCCCGGG